GAAUUAAACCGGUUAAUUCGGUUAACCGGUUUUUAUUUUAAAAAAAUUCGAAUUUUUUAAAUGUGUGCAAUAGGAUUUGAACUCAUGACCUUUGAAAGAAAGAAUGAGACCUUAUCCACUGCACCAAUUCAUAACUUGUGAUAAUUUAUAACAAAAAAUAAAAUUAUAAAUACAUCUAAUUUAUAUUAAAAAAAAAAAAGAACAAUGAUAAACUCACACCCAAAAUUCACACGAAUCACACCCAAAAUUCAAUCAAAUACUACAAUUUGCAGCUAACAGCCAAACACCAUAUAUUUCACCAUCAUUAAACAGCAAAAUUCAAUCAGGCGUGUCAAAUAAAUUACAUAUUUGAUGAAACUAAAGUUAAACUCACUUUGUAACAAUGGAGGAGCUGCUGCUGACGGAGGGAAAAACAAGGGAAGAGGCAAGCCUGGCGAACUGAGCGACGUCGGCAAAGUGCUGCUGCUGCCUGCUGUUGCCGGAGGGAGGAACCAGGCGGAGAAGGCGCCAGUGCAAGGGACGACCGGUGCUGCCUGCUGCUGCUGCUGCCGGAGGGAGGAACCAGGCGGAGAAGGCGCCGAUGCUGCUGCUGCUGCUGCCGGAGGGAGGAACCAGGGGUCCAGGUGGAGAAGGCGCCGGUGCCGGUGGGAGGCGGGGAUGGGAGGCCGGAGGGAACCGUGGAGGAGGCGGGCUGCGGGUGGAAACAGGACAGGAAGGCCGAAGGUGGGGAUGGGAGGCGGCUGGGCUAGAACAGUUGGGUGAGAAGUGGGAACUGGGAAGGAACCGCACGCAUCCCCUAAACUUCUAAACCCUAUUGGCU
rnacentral:lncRNA from 1 species